GGGCGCAGCCUGAUGCAGCGACGCCGCGUGGGGGAUGAAGGCCUUCGGGUUGUAAACUCCUUUCGCUAUCGACGAAGCCACUUGUGGUGACGGUAGGUAGAUAAGAAGCACCGGCUAACUACGUGCCAGCAGCCGCGGUAAUACGUAGGGUGCAAGCGUUGUCCGGAAUUACUGGGCGUAAAGAGCUCGUAGGUGGUUUGUCGCGUCGUCUGUGAAAUCCCGGGGCUUAACUUCGGGCGUGCAGGCGAUACGGGCAUAACUUGAGUGCUGUAGGGGAGACUGGAAUUCCUGGUGUAGCGGUGAAAUGCGCAGAUAUCAGGAGGAACACCGAUGGCGAAGGCAGGUCUCUGGGCAGUAACUGACGCUGAGGAGCGAAAGCAUGGGUAGCGAACAGGAUUAGAUACCCUGGUAGUCCAUGCCGUAAACGGUGGGCGCUAGGUGUAGGGGGCUUCCACGUCUUCUGUGCCGUAGCUAACGCAUUAAGCGCCCCGCCUGGGGAGUACGGCCGCAAGGCUAAAACUCAAAGGAAUUGACGGGGGCCCGCACAAGCGGCGGAGCAUGUGGAUUAAUUCGAUGCAACGCGAAGAACCUUACCUGGGCUUGACAUGUACCGGAUCGGGCUAGAGAUAGUCUUUCCCUUGUGGUCGGUAUACAGGUGGUGCAUGGUUGUCGUCAGCUCGUGUCGUGAGAUGUUGGGUUAAGUCCCGCAACGAGCGCAACCCUUGUCUUAUGUUGCCAGCACGUUAUGGUGGGAACUCAUGAGAGACUGCCGGGGUUUAACUCGGGAGGGAAGGUGGGGAUGACGUCAAAUCAUCAUGCCCCUUA
rnacentral:rRNA from 1 species